UCACUCUCUUUGACUAAGGCUUCUGGGCAAAAACAGAUUUCGACAAAGGACAGUGAGACUCUCUACUCCCAUGUCAAACACUCAACUCAGUUUGCUCUCCUUUCUUUCCUAGAGCAGGUGAGAAGAGAAGCAGUGCUGUCUCUGCCAAACUUUCCAAAAUGAAAACUGAUAGCGUGAUAGGAAGUCUGCAGGAAUCACAAGAGAUGCCACAGGAUCCAAAGAUCACCACAGUCUGAAGUAUAUACAGGGAAGAAGCUCCAGCUCAGUCAGACCUAGACAGCUUCAUAAGGAACCACCCCGAAUCCUCCUGCAGUAUGCCCUCUAACGCUUCAGUAUUUGCUUUGGUUUUGAGAAAGCAAGGCAGUGUUGCGUUACCACAGAGAGCCAGCUCCAGUCUGCUGGUGUGCAAAAGCCUCUCAGACUCCAGUGCUUUGCUGAACGUCACAGAGCGCUACCGAAACCGAAACGCAGCAAGCAACCUCCUCCUGCCUCCUGCUAGACCCUGCGGAGCCAAAGACAUGGUCAUAUUUGCCCCUAGUAAAGGGGCCGUGCUGCUUCCAGGCUGGAGAUGACCCUGGAAAACAAAUCACUGCACUCGCACGGUGUCACACAAGCUAAUAUCCCUGCCAAAGCCUAACACACUGCCUAGCACAGGCAGCUGAAAUAAGUCUUCAUCUCUUGUACAGUUAAUAUAAAAUACACAUGGAUAACGAGGAGCUGACUAACUCUGGUAUGUUAAAGACAGGGUUAGUACAUAACACUCUUGGAAGGAAGAGUAUUUGUCGCAGCUCUGACCAUAUAACCACAAAAUCUGGGCUGGAACUGAUAAAAACAAUCCCCUACAUUUUUAGAGGAUCUGUCACUUUUGUAUUUUCAACACAUUUCAACUUUAAAAUGUAUUUCUCUGCAGGUCAUUUUCUACCAAAACAGCAAUACCAUUAGUCUGUAGAAAAAGCAAAAACUGCAACUGUUCUCUCUUUCCUGACAAGCCGCAGUUUGGAUAUUAGCUGAUCCUGGCCUAACUAUUGGCUAGUUUGAGGAAAGUGGAAGGAAUGUUGGUAUUUUUAAAUAAUCUUUUUAUUACACUCUAAGUGUGUUAAAUAUUCAAAUCUUUUCAUGGAGACUUUUGUCAACAUUUCCUCAAGAGUUUCAUGGGAAACUGAGUCACAUCGAGCCAAUACGAAACUUGGUGAGCUGAGAAAUGUUUGAAGUAGCAUCAGUAACAGCAAGUCUGUCAGACCUAAUGUAUAUUUUCCUGCUGUCCUUUCUCUCAAAAUUCUAGCAAUGCUUUUUCAGUACCUUACCCACCAAAAAUAUGUUAA